CAGCAGCCACGGGAAUACGAAGGGUGCAAGCGUUAAUCGGAAUUACUGGGCGUAAAGCGUGCGUAGGCGGUUUGUUAAGUCUGCUGUGAAAUCCCCGGGCUCAACCUGGGAAUGGCAGUGGAUACUGGCAAGCUAGAGUGUGUCAGAGGAUGGUGGAAUUCCCGGUGUAGCGGUGAAAUGCGUAGAGAUCGGGAGGAACAUCAGUGGCGAAGGCGGCCAUCUGGGACAACACUGACGCUGAGGCACGAAAGCGUGGGGAGCAAACAGGAUUAGAUACCCGCGUAGUCCCUGUCUCUUAUAC
rnacentral:rRNA from 1 species